UGGCGACCGGCUAACGGGUGCGAAACACGUACGCAACCUUCCCAAAACUGGUGAAUAGCCCUCCGAAAGGAGGAUUAAUACACCGUAACAUAAUGAAGUGGCAUCAUUUUAUUAUUAUAGCUCCGGCGGUUUUGGAUGGGCGUGCGACUGAUUAGGUAGUUGGCGGGGUAACGGCCCACCAAGCCUGCGAUCAGUAACUGGUGUGAGAGCACGACCAGUCACACGGGCACUGAGACACGGGCCCGACUCCUACGGGAGGCAGCAGUGGGGAAUAUUGGACAAUGGGCGAAAGCCUGAUCCAGCCAUGCCGCGUGUGUGAAGAAGGCCCUUGGGUUGUAAAGCACUUUAAGCGGGGAGGAAGGUUCGCUGGCUAAUAUCCAGCGGAAUUGACGUUACCUGCAGAAUAAGCACCGGCUAACUCUGUG
rnacentral:rRNA from 1 species